rnacentral:rRNA from 1 species
AGAGUUUGAUCAUGGCUCAGGAUGAACGCUGGCGGCGUGCCUAACACAUGCAAGUCGUACGAGCUCGAUCUUCGGAACGGGUUAGUGGCGCACGGGUGAGUAACACGUAGGUGACCUACCCCAGAGUGGGGGAUAACUUCUCGAAAGAGAGGCUAAUACCGCAUACACUCGGUCAUUCAUUUGGCCGAGCAAAGCUCCGGCGCUUUGGGACGGGCCUGCGUCCGAUUAGCUAGUUGGUAGGGUAAUGGCUUACCAAGGCUUUGAUCGGUAGCUGGUCUGAGAGGACGAUCAGCCACACUGGCACUGACACACGGGCCAGACUCCUACGGGAGGCAGCAGUGAGGAAUAUUGGGCAAUGGGCGAAAGCCUGACCCAGCAACGCCGCGUGAGGGAUGAAGGCCUUCGGGUUGUAAACCUCUUUCUGGGAGAAGAGACAAGGACGGUAUCCCAGGAAUAAGUCUCGGCUAACUACGUG